rnacentral:rRNA from 1 species
ACUCCUACGGGAGGCAGCAGUAGGGAAUCUUCCACAAUGGACGAAAGUCUGAUGGAGCAACGCCGCGUGAGUGAAGAAGGGUUUCGGCUCGUAAAACUCUGUUGUUAAAGAAGAACAUAUCUGAGAGUAACUGUUCAGGUAUUGACGGUAUUUAACCAGAAAGCCACGGCUAACUACGUGCCAGCAGCCGCGGUAAUACGUAGGUGGCAAGCGUUGUCCGGAUUUAUUGGGCGUAAAGCGAGCGCAGGCGGUUUUUAAGUCUGAUGUGAAAGCCUUCGGCUCAACCGAAGAAGUGCAUCGGAAACUGGGAAACUUGAGUGCAGAAGAGGACAGUGGAACUCCAUGUGUAGCGGUGAAAUGCGUAGAUAUAUGGAAGAACACCAGUGGCGAAGGCGGCUGUCUGGUCUGUAACUGACGCUGAGGCUCGAAAGUAUGGGUAGCAAACAGGAUUAGAUACCCUGGUAGGAUAGC